rnacentral:rRNA from 1 species
GAUGAAUGCUGGCGGCGUGCCUAACACAUGCAAGUCGAGCGGCAGCGCAGUCUUCGGACUGGCGGCGAGCGGCGGACGGCUGAGUAACGCGUGGGAACGUACCCCAAAGUGAGGAAUAACCGCCCGAAAGGGUGGCUAAUGCCGCAUAUGGUCUUCGGAUUAAAGGAUUUAUCCGCUUUGGGAACGGCCUGCGUACGAUUAGAUAGUUGGUGAGGUAAAGGCUGACCAAGUCGACGAUCGUUAACUGGUCUGAGAGGAUGAUCAGUCAGACUGGAACUGGGACACGGUCCGGACUCCUAGGGGAGGCAGCAGUGAGGAAUCUUCCACAAUGGGCGAAAGCCUGAUGGAGCAACGCCGCGUGCAGGAUGAAGGCCUUCGGGUUGUAAAGUUCUUUUGGUGGGGACGAUGAUGACGGUACCCACAGAAUAAGCUCCGGCUAACUUCGUGCCAGCCGCCGCCGUA